UGAUCAAAAACCCCGAAACUAAGUUUUAAUUGCUGUUUUAAGCUGGAAACUCUGUGUUCAAUAAUUUUCCUUCUUGAAUUAAAAAAUAACCCUGCACAAUGGUCUGAAAGCCGUGUCUGGUUGGACAAAUCUGUUUUCGUUUAAAUUAUUAGUUUAUGCUGUAUGCUGUCUUCGGAAAAGUUUCCUCAUAUGUUUUGGACAUUCUUCUCAAUAUUGUAAAGUAAGAAUGGUCUCUAGAUAGCUUUCAAGACCACAAUGUUAUCUUUUAAGUUUUUCGUAAUAUAUAAAUUUAAUGUUCCACAAAAUUUGAAAGCACUUUAUUCCAAAUUUUUUAAAAAGACACUACACCGUCUUAAGCCAGUGAACAUUACAUACGAGCACAGACUGAACAUUACAUACACGAGACAACGGACAACACACUGAUCACCCAGUGGCCCAAUGGAGAAUUUUCCCCGACUGGAGCGGGAAUCAAACCCGCACUCCGAGACUUACGAAACGCCUAGACGACUGACGCCGCUAACCGCACGGCCACAAAGCCCACCGAAUUUUGCCGAAGGAACUAUACCUAAUUCUAUCACUUAUGGUUCAAGAGAUAUUAUUCUUUUUUAAAAAGUUAGGGUGACACCUAAAAAUGAUUUUGUUUUCAAUAACAUUUUAUUCGCUGGUUGCUCGCAAAUACGUUGUUCUGAGUAAUUUCAGAGCAUUCAAUCCAGCUUUCCACGCUGGCCAUAAUGGCGGAUGCUAUAAAAAAAUUGACAAGAUCUGUGCCCCACAUUGAACUGAAAUUUGAGAAAAGUUUUCUUAGCAAGCCUAGAUUUUUGAAAAUAGACUUGCUGUCGCCUAGUCACCUGCCAACAGUGAAACAUAUCUUGAUUUCCUGGGAUUUACGGCAAACAUUCAUUGUGAAUGGAUUUAUGUCCAUAUCAUGUCCGUUCUCUGGAUGACUAUUGGUCCUGUGAACUUCCUGUAGGGUGAAGGAUUAGGUAGAAAUACCCCUACCACUGAUGUCCAAGUGCUGCAUAUCCACAUAAUUGACGGUCUAUGUCGUUCCUCCAGAAAUCUGCCUUAUUAUCAAGCGGUUAAAGUAGCACCACAAAAUCCAAGACAAAAUUUACCCAGCUUAAAGUUCAUCGAUCUGAGAGCUUUUCUAUUCUUAAGAAUCGAAAGAAGGUUGUUAUUGCGAAGCUGUGGAGCAGAUUCCGCAAGCAAACUACGAACGUUGCAUACAUUUCCCGAAAACCCACUUCUGCUGCUUUGUUGACACUUCAAGAUUCAACGUUAUUUUAUUUGGGAAACGUUCGAUAUCU